CCUACGGGAGGCAGCAGUGGGGAAUAUUGGGCAAUGGAGGAAACUCUGACCCAGCGACGCCGCGUGCGGGAUGAAGGCCUUCGGGUUGUAAACCGCUUUCAGUAGGGAAGAAGCGAAAGUGACGGUACCUACAGAAGAAGCACCGGCUAACUAUGUGCCAGCAGCCGCGGUAAUACAUAGGGUGCAAGCGUUGCCCGGAAUUAUUGGGCGUAAAGAGCUCGUAGGUGGUUCGUCACGUCGGAUGUGAAAAUCUGGGGCUCAACCCCAGACCUGCAUUCGAUACGGGCGAUCUAGAGUGUGGUAGGGGAGACUGGAAUUCCUGGUGUAGCGGUGGAAUGCGCAGAUAUCAGGAGGAACACCAAUGGCGAAGGCAGGUCUCUGGGCCAUUACUGACACUGAGGAGCGAAAGCGUGGGGAGCGAACAGGAUUAGAUACCCUGGUAGUCCACGCCGUAAACGGUGGGCACUAGUUGUGGGAACCUUCCACGGUUUCUGCGACGCAGCUACGCAUAGUAGCCCGCCGUCGGGAGGUACGAGCGCGAAGAAUUAAACGUUAAAGGUAAGUUAGACGGCGUGAGACGUCGCCGACGGACGACGACGAGGGAGGUAGG
rnacentral:rRNA from 1 species